rnacentral:rRNA from 1 species
UCAGAGGGAGGUAGAAUUNCACGUGUAGCAGUGAAAUGCGUAGAGAUGUGGAGGAAUACCGAUGGCGAAGGCAGCCUCCUGGGAUAACACUGACGUUCAUGCCCGAAAGCGUGGGUAGCAAACAGGAUUAGAUACCCUGGUAGUCCACGCCCUAAACGAUGUCGAUUAGCUGUUGGGCAGCAUGACUGCUUAGUAGCGAAGCUAACGCGUGAAAUCGACCGCCUGGGGAGUACGGUCGCAAGAUUAAAACUCAAAGGAAUUGACGGGGACCCGCACAAGCGGUGGAUGAUGUGGAUUAAUUCGAUGCAACGCGAAGAACCUUACCUGGUCUUGACAUGUACGGAACCCUCCAGAGACGGAGGAGUGCCUUCGGGAGCCGUAACACAGGUGCUGCAUGGCUGUCGUCAGCUCGUGUCGUGAGAUGUUGGGUUAAGUCCCGCAACGAGCGCAACCCUUGUCAUUAGUUGCCAUCAUUAAGUUGGGCACUCUAAUGAGACUGCCGGUGACAAGCCGGAGGAAGGUGGGGAUGACGUCAAGUCCUCAUGGCCCUUAUGACCAGGGCUUCACACGUCAUACAAUGGUCGGUACAGAGGGUAGCCAAGCCGCGAGGUGGAGCCAAUCUCACAAAACCGAUCGUAGUCCGGAUUGCACUCUGCAACUCGAGUGCAUGAAGUCGGAAUCGCUAGUAAUCGCAGGUCAGCAUACUGCGGUGAAUACGUUCCCGGGUCUUGUACACACCGCCCGUCACACCAUGGGAGUGGGGGAUACCAGAAGUAGGUAGGGUAACCGCAAGGAGCCCGCNU